GGUCCGUGCCCGAGAGGAGAAGAAUCCAGACCACCGGCUAAGGCCCCGAAAUACAGGUUAAGUUAGUCUAACGGGGUGGGGCCCCAGUGACAGCUAGGAUGUUGGCUUGGAAGCAGCCAUUCAUUCAAAGAGUGCGUAACAGCUCACUAGUCGAGGGGCCCCGCAUGGAUAAUAAUCGGGUAUCAAACCUGUUGCCGAAGCCGUGGGACGGGAAACCGUCGGUAGGGGAGCAUUGCAUGCGCGCAGAAUGUACGGGGUGACCCGUGCUGGAGCGCAUGGAAAAGCAAAUGUAGGUAUAAGUAACGAUAAAGGGGGUGGGAUGCCCCCUCGCCGUAAGGCCAAGGUUUCCCGGGCGACGUUAAUCGUCCCGGGGUCAGUCGGGUCCUAAGGGUAAGCGUAUGAGCGAGUCCCGAUGGCAGAAACGGUCAACAUUCCGUUACUGCCCGGCAUGGCGAUGCGGAGACGGAGAAGUGACACUUCCGCGCCCUGACGGAAAAGGGCGUUGAAGGCCGUAGGUGCAGAGGAUGGCAGGAAAGUCCACCGUCCGAGCCGAAAGCCGAUAGUACGCGAGGCCCCCGGGCUGAGCGAAAGCGAAGGUAAUCAAGCUCCCGAGAAAAUCCGCUAAGCAUCCAACAUGCCGGGCACCCGUACCGCAAACGGACACACGUGGCCGGGUAGAGCAUACCAAGGCGCUUGGAAGAUUCACGGUUAAGGAACUAGGCAAAAUGACCCCGUAACUUCGGGAGAAGGGGUCCUCACGUGAGUGAGGCGCAGCGAAACGGUCCAGGCAACUGUUUACCAAAAACACAGGGCUGUGCGAAAUCGAAAGAUGCAGUAUACAGCCUGACACCUGCCCGGUGCCGGAAGGUUAAGAGGAGGGCUCACCGCAAGGGAAGGCCCGAAUUGAAGCCCCGGUAAACGGCGGCCGUAACUAUAACGGUCCUAAGGUAGCGAAAUUCCUUGUCGGGUAAGUUCCGACCUGCACGAAUGGUGUAAUGAUCCGGACACUGUCUCAACCGUGAUUCCAGUGAAAUUGUAGUAUCGGUGAAGAUGCCGAUUACCCGCGAUGGGACGAAAAGACCCCGUGAACCUUUACUACAGCUUAACAUUGCGACCGGGCAUGCCUUGUGUAGGAUAGGCCGGAGGCAGAGAAUCAGGGGCGCCAGCCCUUGUGGAGCCGCCGUUGAAAUACGGCCCUGGGCCUGUUUGGUCGCUAACGCGUGUGAUACGCGGACACUGUUUGGCGGGUAGUUUGACUGGGGUGGUCGCCUCCAAAAGCGUAACGGAGGCUUCCCAAGGUGCCCUCAGGCCGAUUGGCAACCGGCCGCAGAGUGUAAUGGCAGAAGGGCGCUUGACUGGUAGGCCGACGGGCCGAUCAGGCAGGAAACUGGGGCAUAGUGAUCCGGUGGUCCCGCAUGGAAGGGCCAUCGCUC
rnacentral:rRNA from 1 species